rnacentral:rRNA from 1 species
AACGAACGCUGGCGGCAUGCCUAACACAUGCAAGUCGAACGAGACCUUCGGGUCUAGUGGCGCACGGGUGCGUAACGCGUGGGAACCUGCCUUUAGGUUCGGAAUAACUCAGAGAAAUUUGAGCUAAUACCGGAUAAUGUCUUCGGACCAAAGAUUUAUCGCCUUUAGAUGGGCCCGCGUUGGAUUAGCUAGUUGGUGGGGUAAAGGCCUACCAAGGCGACGAUCCAUAGCUGGUCUGAGAGGAUGAUCAGCCACACUGGGACUGAGACACGGCCCAGACUCCUACGGGAGGCAGCAAGUUGGGGGAAUAUUGGACAAUGGGCGAAAGCCUGAUCCAGCAAUGCCGCGUGAUGAUGAAGGCCUUAGGGUUGUAAAGAC